CCUACGGGUGGCUGCAGUGAGGAAUAUUGGUCAAUGGGCGAGAGCCUGAACCAGCCAAGUCGCGUGAGGGAAGACGGUCCUAUGGAUUGUAAACCUCUUUUGCCGGGGAGCAAAAAGCGGUACGUGUACCGCAUCGAGAGUACCCGGAGAAAAAGCAUCGGCUAACUCCGUGCCAGCAGCCGCGGUAAUACGGAGGAUGCGAGCGUUAUCCGGAUUUAUUGGGUUUAAAGGGUGCGUAGGCGGUCGGAUAAGUUAGAGGUGAAAUCCCGAGGCUCAACUUCGGAAUUGCCUCUGAUACUGUUCGGCUAGAGAGUAGUUGCGGUAGGCGGAAUGUAUGGUGUAGCGGUGAAAUGCUUAGAGAUCAUACAGAACACCGAUUGCGAAGGCAGCUUACCAAGCUACUUCUGACGUUGAGGCACGAAAGCGUGGGGAGCAAACAGGAUUAGAUACCCCUGUAGUC
rnacentral:rRNA from 1 species